GGAAUAUUUUUAAAUUUUAUAUCCAAAAAAAAGGAAAAAAAAAUUACACACACUGGUAGUUAGGUUUGACUCUCGUCCUUAACCAUGGUGGCUUUCUUACUUACUAUACAAGCUGACAGAGAGCACGGUUUUGAGAAAACGACGACGCCGUUCCUUCGGAACUAACUCUUCUCCGCCGCCGUAUCUGCCCCUGGCCAACGAAAUUAUGGGAAAGAAGAAUAAGUCUUCGAAAAGGAAAACCAGAGAGAUCGAAGCAGACGCCAAGAAGAAUUUAGCUAAUGCCAAGAACCAAUCUCAUAGAAUGCCCUCUAACUAUCCAGUUGCUUGGAGUUGCUUUGUGCAGAGACUAUUGAUGAUGGAGUGGAGGAGAGAAUACACCGCAAACACCCGUUACAUACGAGGAUGAGGAUGAAAGUGAUGAUGAGGGAUCUGAAGACUCUAUGGAAGUUGAAAAUGUUGAAGAUGGCGAAGAGCCUCAAGCCUAUUGCGAUAUCAGUUAAAAUGAAGGAAAUGGUGAAAUUAGAGAUUGAAUUGAUUAUUAUACUCAGGCUACAGAAAGUGUAGAAAUUUGAGAGUAUGGAGUCUUUUUGUUUCCCUCUUUGUUAUAAUUAUCCU